rnacentral:tRNA from 1 species
UCUCAGGUGGCUCAGUGGUAAAGAAUCUGCCUGCCAAGCAGGAGACCUGGGUUUGAUCCCUGGGUUAGGAA